UGUGUCUCCACUAACCGCCCCUGACAUGUCCAACCGUCUCUCCAUUGCAUAUGCGAGCUCAUGACUGGGGAAGUUCAAAGGUCAAAAGGGAGGGAAAACAAAAACACCCGCACGUCCAUUUCUUCUGGGGGGUAAAAGUACUUUUAGGCCCCGAGCUGGCGCUGGCCUUUGUGUCCUCGCAUUUGCUUGUUACCAGCACGUACACUUGGAAGUGUCUCCCCCCCCCCCCGGUAUGCCAUCUGUUUCUUUGCAAUUGGGGAUGGUUGAAUAAUUUCCUGAGGAAUUGCUGACAAGAUGUGGCCCAGGAACAGUAAUCCAGCAGGACCAGAUUUCUCAUUAAAAUCGAUAAAGAAACUGAGUCAUAGAGACCUUCAAAAGUUGCUUCCAAACUCAGAGUUGGCAGCUGAUAAACCCGGAGCCCUAUUGUCAGCAUAAACUUUGCACCCUCACCGCCACCCCAGAGUUUCAUCUCCUGAAGUAGAGCCAACCAGCACCGAGACAAGAUGCAACAGAGAAGAGGAUUAAAGGCGAAAUUCCUGCUCCCACAUCAAACUAACUGGAAGACAAGCACUGGGUUGGUGGGUGCUGGGAGGUUUUAACAAGCUCCCCUGGUGAUUCUGAUACAUACUAAAAUAUGAGAACCACUGUCCUACAGCAUAAUAAAUGUUAUUUAAUUAA